CCUACGGGAGGCUGCAGUGGGGGAUAUUGCACAAUGGGGGAAACCCUGAUGCAGCGACGCCGCGUGGGCGAAGAAGUCUUUCGGUAUGUAAAGCCCUAUCAGCAGGGAAGAAGAAAUGACGGUACGUGAGUAAGAAGCACCGGCUAAAGACGUGCCAGCAGCCGCGGUAAUACGGAUGGUGCAAGCGUUAUCCGGAUUUACUGGGUUUAAAGGGAGCGCAGGCGGGACGGCCAGCCUGCUGGGAAAGCCCGCGGCCCAACCGCGGGACUGCAUUGGGAACUCACGGGCUGGAGUGCCGGAGAGGUAGGCGGAAUUCCUAGUGUCGCGGUGAAAUGCUUAGAUAUUAGGAGGAACCCCAGUGGCGAAGGCGGCCUACUGGACGGUGACUGACGCUGAGGCUCGAAAGCGUGGGGAGCAAACAGGAUUAGAUACCCCAGUAGUC
rnacentral:rRNA from 1 species